UUUUGCUAGUAGUCACAUUAUUACCUACUGGUCCACACGGGCUACAAGUGAGAAGUAGCUGCUUCCCGCUUCUCCACAGAAGCAGCUGCUCCUUCUUAUCACCCUGACACUGAGUAUCUCUAAGCACUGGGAUUCUGAGCCACAGUAUAGCAUGCUAUCAGCAGACGGCCAAGGAUGGAAGCCUGGUCCCCGGAGAGCAAUACAAGCUGGAGCUUCUCUACUUUUCAUCUGCCAG
rnacentral:lncRNA from 1 species